rnacentral:rRNA from 1 species
UACGGAGGGUGAAAGCGUUAUCCGGAUUUACUGGGUUUAAAGGGUGCGCAGGCGGAUAUGUAAGUCAGUGGUGAAAUCUCUAGGCUUAACCUGGAAAUUGCCGUUGAUACUAUAUAUCUUGAAUGUUGUGGAGGUAAGCAGAAUAUGUCAUGUAGCGGUGAAAUGCUUAGAUAUGACAUAGAAUACCUAUUGCGAAGGCAGCUUACUACGCAGAUAUUGACGCUCAUGCACGAAAGCGUGGGGAUCAAACAGG